AGGAAUCAUCAUCUUCAUAAAGUAAUAAGUAAACUUGGUCAUCCAUGCAUCAACUGUAGCUUGCUUGCUAAUUUCCACCUAUGUCACAAAUAAGGCAAUGUCAUGUUCAGACUGAAGGUGAAAGAAGCACACAUUCAAUUUCUAAUUUAAUGUAGUACUAAUAAAAUCUCUAUGAAGAAGCAGACCAACUGCUGGAAAUAAACUGGCGUGGAACUAAAUCGGUGUCCACAAAACCAUAUAGAUAUGCAUGCUCAUCAGGCAUGUCAUACAUUUUACCAGAAUGGAAGCUUAGGUAGUGCUAGUGCCCUAACUAAAGAACCUCCAGCCCACACAAUAGAAAUUCGUCCAUCUCAGCCAUGAAUUCACUUAAACAGGAAACAAAAUAAAUGUUUUCCUCAGACACAGUACACUGAAGAAACAAAAGUAUGCAGGAUGAACCGAUAAGCUCUUAUGGCUGAACAAAGCCCAUCUGCAAACAUCAUCAUUCUAGGCAAGAAAAAAAGCUGAAUAAAGCCCAUCUGCAGUUAUAACAUCAGUCCCCAGUUUGGCACUUAACUCGGCUUUAUGUCUCUAGACACAUCGAUAUGAUGUAUCCAUAUAUAUAAUCGUAGCAAUACACUAUUGGAAGAUUAAAAGAUAGUUCCGACGUAUUUUCCAGGAUUUUCUCUAGGAUGAACAAAGGAGCUUGAAAGGAGGGCCAAUACUGGGUUUACCAUGCAACAUACAUGUGCACCAUCAACAAUGGCAUAAUUCGGCCUUGCAGAUGAUCAUUGGGACAUGAAAAAUAGAUAAAAAAUGCAUUGAAAGCUUGGACCUGAAAUAUAGAUCAUUACGGCCUUGGUCUACCCAGGAGAAAUACACGUAAGCGUCAACCAAAUGCAAUCACAGUCAUGUAUGAUUUCUUUAAUCUAUUUAGUGUGCUUUUCACGUACUGUGCAAGUAGCAAGGGUUGUUCUUCAAUAAACAACAUCUUAUUAGCUUCAGAUGACGCCCAUUGGCACUAUACAGCUAAUUUAAGUUAAGUUAAAUUGUGAUCCUAAAAUUCAGGUAAAAAAUCACAUGGAAAGCUCAAAUUGAACCGGGAUUAUCGAUCUACAUAUUAUGACCUACCAAGUUUACCAUGACAAUGCAGAUAGUAUGGAGGCUAAUUUAAGAAUGUAAACAAAAAUAUAUAUAGACAUUUCAUGACAUCAAACAAUUACGGGUUGCGGUUUUAAACAAAAAUACAUGAUGGAUCAUUGCAUAUAAUUAUGAUUAUAAAGGUACACUAUGUUUUCUAACAAAUGAAAAGACAAGUACUCUUACUGCCAAUAAUUAUAAUUCGAUGAUGUGUCGAUAAGAAAGCAACAAUCAUUGUAUAUACCUUUAUAAGCUUCCAGUGAUCCUGUGAGCAUAUGCUAAUACUCCUUAACAUAAAUCUCACUUGUCAUCGCCAUCGUCUCUGUCUUGCUGGAAUCACAUCCUCCAUCUACAAACUGAAAGAAUAUCAACAUCAAAUCCCUCCUGAAGGUUUCACCCUGGACCUUCCCCCUGCCAAUCUACAUAGGCAUGGCAUUCUGUUAACCAAGCAAACUCAACAAUCCACACCAUGCAUGUGAAUUUCUUCAGGAAAUUCACAACACACUUCAACCCACUUGAUUUAUACACAUGAACUUAACGGGAUAUGAGCAUUUACACGCAACAAUUCAUGGUUAAUGUGGAACUGAAGCGACAAAUUGAGACAAUCAAAAUCCUACCUCAAUGAAUAAGCCGAGCAGGAGGAGGCC
rnacentral:lncRNA from 1 species